GAUGAACGCUAGCUACAGGCUUAACACAUGCAAGUCGAGGGGCAGCACAGUGUAGCAAUACAUGGGUGGCGACCGGCGCACGGGUGCGUAACGCGUAUCCAACCUUCCCGUUACUCUUGGAUAGCCUUCCGAAAGGGAGAUUAAUACAAGAUGGUAUUCAAAUUCCGCAUGUUAUUUGAAUUAAAGAUUUAUCGGUAUCGGAUGGGGAUGCGUGACAUUAGAUAGUAGGCGGGGUAACGGCCCACCUAGUCUACGAUGUCUAGGGGUUCUGAGAGGAAGGUCCCCCACACUGGAACUGAGACACGGUCCAGACUCCUACGGGAGGCAGCAGUGAGGAAUAUUGGUCAAUGGUCUGACGACUGAACCAGCCAUGCCGCGUGAAGGUCACGGCCCUAUGGGUCUUAAACUUCUUUUGUAAGGGAGCAAUAAGGUCUACGUGUAGAUCGAUGAGAGUACCUUACGAAUAAGCAUCGGCUAACUCCGUGCCAGCACCG
rnacentral:rRNA from 1 species